rnacentral:miRNA from 1 species
GCAUGUGAUGAAGCAAAUCAGU